AGUUCAAAGCAGCGCUAUUCAAGUUCUGUUGGUUUAAGUAGGAUGGCAUGGAAAGAAUGUCCUCAAAUUUGAUGAUACAGAUUGUUUCGGUAGAUGAGCAACUGCUUGGCAGAAAAUGAGUUUCUUUUGAAAUAAACAGUUCCCUGACCUCCUCUCCUUGGGAAAAUUCAAAGGAAAAGGCAAUGGCAUUCCAAGUUUUUCAGUUGUAGAUUUGUGAUGUCUUUUAAGGGUAUGAGAGCUCAGUGAAGACAUCACUUAGUGGGCUAAAAGGACUGAUGGAGCUUGGAAAAUGCCUCCUCUUCUCCCAUUAAACCCUUCUCAUUGGAAUGUCAAUGGGCAUCUAAUAUAUAGUCAUAGGUUUAAUGCCAGAGAGAUGAAAUUGUACAUCUUGGUUAGAGAGAUGAAACCUUUCAUUUUGCUCAUCUUCACCAAAUGACAAAUCCGUAAUUAAUCUGUCUCUGGAUUCCUUGUGGCUUGCUUUGAUUUCCUUUCCUAGUUGAGAGGGUGGACCAUGGAUUCCUACUCUCUUGGGUCUCCCUUUCCCUAUCCCAUGUUUAAAGAGUAGAAAUGUUUAGGUUCAUAUUACAGAAUAAGUAGAACGGACAGAGUGUGAUGGAUGGUCUUUAGAAUUUUCUCAGAAGAGUCUUAUGAUCUUAAAUUUGGCUUAGGAAAUAAGAGUGAAUUGAAUCAGAGCAGUAUUCAAAGCAGGGCAUCUUGGCAAACAAAGAAACUCUCCAUUCUUCAGGAGAUACUUCAUGACUGACACUGGUUGAGUAAAGCCUAAACAUUUCCACGAUGCUGCCAUUCACCUAGCAUCUGAAGUGCCAUCUGGAGAUAGAUGAGGGUUAUGAAUGACUCUUGGUAAGUGGGCACAAAAUUAGAAAUCAGGCCAUUUCUUCUGAUUAUUUGCUUCAAAGAAGGGACUUACAAUUUGUAGUGACUCUAAUGUGCCUAAUGUAUGCUUCCUCUUUCUUCCUCUUGGCAUAUUUCCUGUGCAAGCAGGCUGAAUUCUACUAUUUUCAUCUCAGAGCAUUCAUUUUGUUCCAGAUGCAAAAUGCUUAUUUCUUUUAAAAUAU
rnacentral:lncRNA from 1 species